AGCAAUAUACAUCUUGUUGUGCAGCGUUGAAUGUUGUGGCAGGCAUUCAAUGCUGCUUAGAAAGAUGUAUAUUGAU
rnacentral:pre_miRNA from 1 species